rnacentral:lncRNA from 1 species
UCCUGGUCAGAAAAAGUAGAUCAGGGAAGGGAGUCUGGGGUAGAGGUAUGUGGACAGACUUACAGAAGCAGGAAGAUUCAUAUCCUACCAAAAGUCAUGCAGCUAUCACUGACUAAAAACUGAAUAGCCAAGUGGUGGCCUCAACCCACUGAUUCAGCCAGCCUCUGUCAUUGGCCACUCCAAUGUUGAUACAAUGGUUAGAUGAACAAAGUGGCUGUGGUGGCAGAGAUGGUAACUAUUCACAGGCAACAGCAGACAGUGUCAUUUAGUAAGACACUAAUUUGUCUACUGCUGCUACCAAAGUCCUCAACAUGACACAAUUUCUGAAGAAAACCAACCAGCCAAGUCUCAUCAGCAAAAUGAGACCUUGCCCUCCUGGAAGGCCCAGCAGUUUAUUCUUAAUUCUCACAAGAACAGGCAAACAUUUGCUCUUCCUAAUCAGAGCUUCACCCUGAAUGACCUUCCAAAGCCUUAGAGAAUGUUGGAUCCACUGUUGUGGGGUUCCAUAUAACACCACCUCAGACCAGAGAUCCAACUUGACAGCCAUAGGUGGGGUGACAAUGAGCCCAUGAAAAUGGGAUUUAGUGAUGGUUGCACAUAAUGCACCACCUGAAAGGCACUGGAAUGGUAUACUGAUGACAUGAACAAGACUCCAUGAGCAUGAGUGACAUUCUGCAAGAGUCAGUGUAUGCAUUGAAUUAAGGACUCCAUUACUAUACCCCCAAGGAUGGACACCUGGAUCUAAGUAGCAUGAAGUGGACCAAGUAGCCCAACUCACUGUCAUGGCCACUAAUUCACUUUCUCUUUCUGUCCCUUUAUCUUUGAGCUGCAGAGUGGGAAUUCCUGGGCCUCUUGCAUUGAGAGGUAGGGAUCUUUAGGUUGCCCGUGACCAGGGCUUCUAGUGAUCAGGGCCAAUUACCCUACCAAAAUGAAGUCACUCUCUGCCUGUGGGUCUACUAUUACACAAUGAGAAAAAGGAGGAAUAUAUCUGGUACAUAGAUGUAGAAAAAAAUGUCAUGUUGAGCCUG